rnacentral:misc_RNA from 1 species
CAUUCAUGUUUCUAUCGUGCGCGGCGCUCGCGCCAUGAUGUGGAUCGAGUGCGCGAGUUGUGGGGAACUACUCGAGGACUGACAUGACCGAGUAGGCCUACUGAGUCGAAGUUUGACUCAGACUUCAGAACUGAGCUGAGUGGCUGAAAGUGAAACGAAUGACACGAUGGAUAAGUAUGAGAAAAUACGUGUGGUUGGGAGAGGAGCUUAUGGGACGGUGUAUCUCUGCCGUCGCCUCAGCGACCAGGAACUGGUCAUCAUCAAGCAGAUACCGGUUGAGCAGAUGACGGGUGAGGAACGACAGGUGGCUGUCAAUGAAUCCAAGGUACUCGCCAUGUUGGAUCAUCCCAACAUCAUCAAGUAUUAUGAGAACUUCCUGGAGGACAAAGCCUUGAGUAUCGUCAUGGAGUAUGCUGAAGGUGGAACUCUGUUUGAUUAUCUGCAGCACAGAGGAAGUGCCCUACUAGAAGAAGGGGAAGUUCUGCGCCUGUUUUGUCAGCUGCUCCUGUCCCUUCAACACGUCCACUCUAAGCAAAUCCUGCACCGAGAUCUGAAGACGCAGAACAUCCUGCUCAACAAGCGACGGGAUGUCUUAAAGAUAGCCGACUUUGGCAUCUCCAAGAUUCUCAGCAGUAAGAGCAAGGCCUUCACCGUGGUAGGCACUCCUUGUUACAUCUCUCCUGAGCUGUGUGAAGGCAAACCUUACAAUCAGAAAAGUGACAUCUGGGCUGUAGGCUGUGUGUUAUAUGAACUGCUUACCUUCAAAAGGGCCUUUGAAGCAGAUAAUCUCCCUGCUUUGGUGAUGAAAAUAAUGCGUGGAUUCAUUGCACCAAUCUCGGACCGCUACAGUGACGAGUUGAAACGGCUUUUGCUGCAAAUGCUGCACUUGGAUCCUGACAAGAGACCGUCCAUCAACCAAGUGAUAGCAGAGCCGAUCAUCAUCAAAAUGUUGGCCAAUGUCUAUAUGGAGAUUGGACGGGUCAAAUGCCCGCUGAAGAUUCCCAAGCCAUUUGUGGUUUCAUCCAGCUCUGUAAACUCCAAGGUACAGAACCAAAAGAACAGCAAGAAAUCCCUCUCCAGGAAAAGCUCCAGUGUAGUUCUGGACAGUAGCACCUCCAACGUGCCCAAGCUCCGCCCACUCUCGACUGUCUCUUUCUGGGGUCAUGGGGUCAUCACCCCUGUCAGACUCCCCCUCCCCCACAGCGACACCCAGAUAGUUCAGGUUGCCACCGGCCGCACUCAGAAGGUGGCUGUCACAAAGAACGGACGACUUAUCAUCUGGGAGUUUUCAUCAGUUGGGGCAGAUUCCACCAUGUUGCCUGGAGCUGUUGACCAGCAGUACCCUACCUUCAUCCCACGCUACUUAGAAGGUCAGUCAGCGGUCACCAUCCAGCAUGUGUCCUGUGGGGAUAUGUUCACAGCUUGCUUGACAGACAGAGGCAUACUGAUGACUUAUGGCAGUGGAGCCCAUGGCAGCCUGGGGCAUGGCAACUACCACGACGUCUCCCAGGCCAAAAUCGUGGAGGAGUUGCUAGGUUACGAGGUUGUCAUGGUAUCGUGUGGUGCAUCGCACGUCAUGGCUGUCACCACUGACAACGAAGUGUUCUCCUGGGGGAGAGGAGACAACGGACGCCUAGGUCUGGACAGUCAGGAAUCCUUUCCUUCACCACAGAGUGUCAGCCUUCCAGCAGUGUGCCACAUUGCCUCGGUACACUGUGGCUUAGAUUGCUCUCUGCUGCUGACAACAGACAAGAAAGUUCUGGCAUGUGGAAGCAACAGAUACAACAAGCUUGGUCUGGAUGAUGUCGGUCCAAACACGAAGACACGCGUCAAAGUUGACGAGAUGCAUACCUACACUCUGGUGGCUUCCCACCCUAUUCACCAAUUGCCAGUCAGGAGUGUUGCCAUAGGAACAGCUCAUGCUGCCAUGGUUACAGUGUGCCGAUAUUCCCAGAGGGAUCCAUUGGCGGAAGAGGAAGGAGAAGACGGAUGAAGUAUUCGCUUUGUAGAGGUGGCAGAAAAAUGCUGCAUUCAUAUUCUGGGGACCAGAAACGUAUUUCGUUUUUCCUAAUACUAGCCGUCUUUGCAGAGCAAAUGGCGUACUGAUGACAAUGUAUGCUUCACUCUUGGCUCCAACCAGUUUGGCCAGCUUGGUUGCGAGACUGAAACCAACUCUCCCAGAAUCCCUUGCU